ensembl:lncRNA
AUGGGUGUGGAAGCGGCGUUCCAGAUGACACGGUUCAAUUACACCAAGACGGACCUCCGGGAAUCACUUUCACAUCGGGUCAAAGAAAAAAGGAAGAAAGAAAACACCAUUCACACGCGUCAACACACACCACAUCAAUGUGUGUUUAAGGAGCAGAAUCAGGAUUCUGGUUCUCGUGAAGGCGGAUCCAGGGAACAGACCCAAGGGCAGGGGUACUCUCAUCAUCUGCCUGUUACCAGCUCGUCAACCUGCACUCUCACCUGUUACAACAAGGCGCCUCCAGAUCUCCUGUCCACCCCGCCACACCGCUUCUCCCUUUGGCCGUCUGCUCUCCUGCGCUCACCUGCCCGCUCCUGGAACCGGUGCUCAGCUCCCAGCCUCCUCCAACAGCUACCACUCAGACCUGACAAGCCCUCCUCUCAGCGCUCCACUAUCUCACUGGAAUCCGUAAGCCUCCAUUCGAAUCACACCUUCCCCGUCUGCUUUACAUUACACAUUCUUGUUCUCUGUCUCAGAACGCUGCCAGAACCGCCCUCCUCCGACGUCUCCCCAGACUCGUCAAACUCAAUAAAUAAUAUAUUAUUUUUACUCACCUUGUCUCUUCGUGAUUCUGCAUGUCGUGGGUCAAAAGACUCGAUCCUACAUGACUACGUUGGGGUUUACCCCAGUGAAUGAUAGGAUAGCCUCCCUCCGCCUACAUGUGGGGGGACGGGUUCUGACUGUGGUCUGUGCUUAUGCACCAAACUACAUGUCAUGUUCUGUGUCCCUUUGUUCCCCAGCCCCUCCAGUUCCCACUCCAGUUUUUCCUCUUGUGUCCCAUUACUAUCCCCAGCCCUCUGUAGACUUCCCUCAGGUGUCUUUCUAAUCAUUCCCCAUUCCUUAUCAAUCUUUAUUUAGUCCUCCUUGUCUGUCUAGUUAUUAGUUGUGUAUUUUUGGCCCUCAGUCUUUAGGUUUAGUUUUGUGUUUUAUAGUUUUAGGUUUAUCUGCCCUCCUCUGGUUCUGUUCCCCAUUUAGAUAAUAUCAUGCACAUGCUUUCCCUCCAGCCUUCACUCCACACACCUGCUGCCUGUUUCCCUAAUUGCCCCUCUGUGUGUAUAUAAGCCUUGUCUUGUCAUUCAGUGUUUGUUGGUCCAUUGAAUUCAUCAGCGUCUUUCUGUCCUCCUCGUGUCCUCCUGUUCCGUCCCCACUAAUUAGUUUUCCGUUGGUUCUGGUAAGGUUUAUGUUUGGUUCGUUUAAGUGCCCUUUUGCAUUUUGGCACCUCCUCCUUUAAACUAAAAGAUUUUUUUUGAAAACUCCUCCUGCCUCGAGUCGUUCUGGGUUCUGCAUUUUGGUUUCCACCUCCUCCAUCCUGACCAUGACACUAGAGUUCAGACUACCCACCCUUUUUGGAGACCUUGGAGGGGGUGCUGGAAAGUGCUCCUUCCGGUGACUCCCUCGUUCUGCUGGGGGACUUUAACGCUCACGUGGGCAACAACAGUGAGACCUGGAGAGGUGUGGUUGGGAGGAAAUGCCCCCCCGAUCUGAAUUCGAGUGGUGUUUUGUUAUUGGACUUCUGCGCCAGUCAUGGUUUGUCCAUAAUGAACACCAUGUUCAGACAUAAAGGUGUCCAUAUGUGCUCUUGGCACCAGGAUACCUUAGGCCGCAGCUCGAUGAUCGACUUUGUUGUUAUUUCUUCUGACCUGCGACUGCCUGUCUUGGACACUCGGGUGAAGAGAGGGGCAGACCUGUCAACUGACCACCACCUGGUGGUGAGUUGGCUCAGAUGGUGGGGAGGAUGCCGGUCAGACCAGGCAGGCCCAAACGUAUCGUGAGGGUCUGCUGGUAACGUCUGGCAGAGUCUCCUGUCAGAAGGAGCUUCAAUUCCCACCUCCGACAGAACUUCCAAAAUGUUCCGGGGGAGGCGGGGGACAUUGAGUCUGAAAGGACCCUGUUCCGUGCCUCCAUUGUUGAGGCGGCCGACCGGAGCUGUGGUCGCAGGAUCGUCGGUUCCUAUUGUAGUGUAGUUAAUCUACAUAACUAGGAUUUAAUGCUGUUUGCUAUCAGCUUUGCUAAAUCCUGAGAAACAUCAAACAAAUUGGCAAAUGAACUUAUAUUAUAUAUAGAUAUCCACGGAUAUUUAUAUAAUCGAUAGAAGUUCAUACACCAACUGGCCUGGUCUAUAUUUAAUCCAAAGAUUAAUAUUUAAUUUAAGAGAUUUAAAUUAAUAGCAAAAGUUUAUUUAUUAAUUCAGAAGAUUUAAAGAGAUCUUUGCUCGUUCAGUGACCAAGUAUACACCAUUCUGUGAUUUCUUUCAAAGAAGAGUCAGGUUUAAAAAGUUAAGAAUUUAUUACUAACAAUUUAAAGAUGACAAUGUAAAAGACAAUUCAUAAAUGACAAUUUAUAAAAGCUUUGAUUUUAAAACUUGGUAUUAAAGCAACCUGUGUCUGGAUGAAAACUAAAAAUGAGAUGUGUGUGUGUUUGGAUGUGUGAAUGGAAGGUCUCAGAAGGUUUCUAUCAGAGAGAGAAAAUGCAUUCUGGGUGAAAGAGUUUGUUUUGCAGCUAAGUUAUUUCUUAAAGUAACAGGCGUACAGACGCAAUCUGUGUUCUACCUCACCGUUCAGACGACCCUCUGUUUGGAUCCGGAGGUCAAGGGAGGAUGUUGAUUAGCCUCGGGGUACUCAGUCCGGUAGAAGAGACCAGUGGUACCGACUCUCUGGUCCUAGAGUUGCCGCAGGUACACAGGUGGAUGGUUUUGCGUCUUAAAUUAACUCUGAAGGAGUUUUGCACCAGCUUGUUGCAGAUGACAUUUCUUGUUGAAGCAAUUCUAUCGGCGUGACAGAAAAGCUUAGUAGAGGUUUCGAGCGGCCGACCCGAUCCUCUGGGACUCUCGUGCCACGGAGAGAUUUUGGUGAGCUCAAGAACUGAAAUUGAACUGAGGAGUUUUGGUUAUAACAUAACUCAGAACACGCCCUCUCAGAGAUGGAAAGCUUUGUCGUUAUGGAACAAAGACAUGUGAGUGCAGUUACCUUUACCCUGAUGUCUGUGUCCUGCAUGGUGUGUAUAAGUGCACAAGACCUUCUUGUCACUGAUCCAGGUCCGGAGUCAAGGCCGGGCCUGGGCGGGCCCGGCCCGCCCAUUUGCCGAUCUGGCCCGCCCAGGACAGAUUACAGCACCGUAUGCAAAUGUAUUUUCUCGAGACGAUCAACAGAGGGUGCUCUAGGUUACUAAUCGAUAGUUUUAGAUGCAAUAGAAGAAGACGCUUUGGUACAGUAGCUUGCUAAAAUGGAUAUCAGAGCUUGGUUUAGCAAACAGAAAAACAAUGCUAGCACAAGCAGGGUCUCCAGCACAGUCUCAGCUGGCAAUUGCGCCACCGAGUGGUAGCAGCACCAACAUAAAUCGCUGUUCAGAUGACCUCGGGGUGGAUAAGCCUAAUCAGGUGCGCCUGGAAAAUUAUCCAGUUCGACUUUUCUCUGGGAAAAAACACAGUUUUUCUUCAUCAUGGUACCAAAAUAGAACAUGGUUGGAGUAUUCAGUGAAAACAGAUGCAGCAUACUGUUUCCCCUGCAGACAGUUUAGUUCUCAUUCCUCAUCAAACUCUUUGUUAUCAUUUUGAAUUUAGGGGUGUCUGCUGUCCUUUUGAUUCAAAUGUUUUAAAACGCAUAUUAAAGGUUAAACUGUUUUUGAACCAUCUUAAAUACAGGUUUGUCUGUUCUCUUUUUAGAAAGAAAACACUCUAGAUUUUCUAAAUCUUGUUUAGAAGACCUAGGUUACACUUCUUACCAGCUGGUAGCAGUAACGCACCAAGUCAAUGUUUACCCAGAAGAAGAAGCACUCAGCCAAGAAGUAGCAUGCUAACCUGAUGCUAACUAGUAUUCGUGAUGUAAGCAUUAUGAGAAAUACGUGCAAAAAGAAUAAUUUACUAAGGUAUCAAGCUGCAGGGCAGGAUUUGGAAGAAGACUUUUGGACUAAGUACGUUAUUGGAGAACAUUAACUGGACGUUAGGAUUGUUUUCAGAUGGUGACUGUGGUGCGCAGGCGCAGCUAAGAACGGUGAGUUGCAAGUAUUGGUUCAGUAAAAUUGGUGUUGUCUUAAGUUUUGAUUGCAUCUUUAAUUGGCAUACAUAAUCUGAAUAUAACAAUGAAGAAUCUUAGCUUUUCAGUUAGUUAUGUAGAACAAGUUGGUGACGCAAAACGACGGAUUUGACCCGGAAGUAUAUGUAUGUAACGUCCACCAGACAGAUUAUAAACAUGCAAAGGGGUUGAAAAAAACACGGUUUACUGCCCCCCCCCCCGCCCACACACAAAAAAAAAAGAAACCCACUACCCCUCCAGGUGAAGUCCUCUGGCGCUGGGUCUGCACUGAUCAAACAUUACUGAUUAUCAUUAAUAACAAUUAUUAUUAACCAAAGAAUAAUAAUUAAUUUCAGUAAUUAAAUACAUUUAUAAUGAACCUUUGAUGAUUAUUUAUUAACCUUGUUAUAGACAGUGAAGAGUUUAUUAAAAAUGAUUCUUUGAAAUCUUGAAGUGUCCAUCUUGUGGAUGGAACAGCAGUCAGAUAAAGCAGUCAGAUUAAAGAUGGUUUACAGCAGACUUUGUGUCUCCUGUGAUGGAUACUCUGUAAAUAGAAGUACAGCCAGGGCAGCUUGACCCAGCUGAGUAAGUGUGACUGAGUCACAAAUUAAGCCAUUCAUGUCACUACACUGUCGUGGUGGCAACCCCGAACCCGCUGUUGUACACUUGCAGUUAGGGAUGCUGACAAGCUGAAGAAAGAGUCCUAUCAGGUCUUUUUGGCCUGUGGGACUCCAGAGGCAGCUGACAGGUACUGGCAGUCCAAGUGGAACGCGGCUCGGGUGGUCGCCAAGGCAAAAACCCGGGCAUGGGAGGAGUUCAGUGAGACCAUGGAGCAAGAAUUCGAGGAGAUUCUGGUCCACCAUCCGGCGCCUCAAGCGGGUAAAACAGUGUGCUACCAACACUAUCUAUAGUGGGGACGGUGUGCUGCUGACCUCUACUCAGGACGUUGUGGCUCGGUGGGCAGAAUACUUCAAAGACCUCCUCAAUCCCACCAACACGUCUUCUAGUGAGGAAGCAGAGUCUGGGGACUUUGGGUUGGCUUCUCAAAUAUCUGGUGCUGAGGUCAUUGAGGUGGUUAAAAAGCUCCUCUGUGGCAAGGCUCCAGGGGUGGAUGAGAUCCGCCCGGAGUUUCUUAAGGCUCUGGAUGUUGUGGGGCUGUGUUGGCUGACGCGGCUCUGCAAUAUCGCGUGGACAUUGGGGGCAGUCCCACUGGACUGGCAGACCGGGGUGGUGGUCCCAUUAUUUAAAAAGGGGGACCGCAGGUUGUGUUCCAACUACGGGGGGAUCACACUCCUGAGCCUUCCUGGUAAGGUCUAUUCAGGGGUUUGGAUUGUUGAACCUCAGAUUCAGGAGGAGCAAUGUGGUUUUCGUCCUGGCCGUGGAACACUGGACCAGCUCUAUACCCUUAGGGGGAUCCUGGAGAGUGCAUGGG